UACGAAGGGGGCUAGCGUUGCUCGGAAUCACUGGGCGUAAAGGGUGCGUAGGUGGUGAGGUAAGUCGGAUGUGAAAGCUCCGAGCUCAACUCGGAAAUGGCAUUGGAAACUACCUUGCUCGAGGGUUUGAGGGGGGACUGGAAUACUUGGUGUAGCAGUGAAAUGCGUAGAUAUCAAGCGGAACACCAGUGGCGAAGGCGAGUCCCUGGACAACUCCUGACACUGAGGCACGAAAGCUAGGGGAGCAAACAGG
rnacentral:rRNA from 1 species